CUGAUCCGAUGUUUCGGAGUGUCUUUGAGGGAAGCUUAUCAAUGUACGGCAUGGACAUUAAUCGAAGGCCAUAUCCUCACAAUUGCACUGCAUAAACAGAAGGGCACCUGCUCAAGUUCUGUUUCAUGUAGAAGUAACAGUUCGUUCUCCCAAAAAAUGUACUAUGGAGUAAAUGUUCCUUACUUACCGUAUCAGCUUCCAAAUUCUCUUCUCGAUUUUCUCAUGAUGGUGAUUCACCAGAAAAUGAGGGUUCAAGUAGAGUACAAUGUAAAACUAAACGUUACGAGGUUUAGAGCUUGUAGAUUCUUUUUACCAGUUUUUAGUCCACCAGGCAUUCCUCCAGGCAAAAAAUUGUCAUGAGAGGAACUUCAUUGUACAUUCUGGUAAGUUCAUGGAAACUUGACUUCUUCUCUUUCACGUAGCAUUUAAUGCAAAUGAAUA
rnacentral:lncRNA from 1 species